CUGACGUCGGCUCGCUCUGACGUCGGCGCUGUCUGGCUCCAGUCUGAGGCCGUCCUGGUUUUGAAGUCAGCCCGGACGCCGGCCGACGGUUUCCACACCCAGCCUGGAAGCCGAAACGCGCACGUGAAGCCUGAAAGCCCAUGAAGGGAACGACUGCGACGCUGGGAUCCCGAGACGCGGCCUCCCCGCCUGGAGAGGCAGCCAGCGAGCGGCAGGUUCGGCGGCCGGGCAGCUGAGAGAGUCAUUACUGUGAUCUGUGGGACAUUCUAUACAUGAGCUGAUACUUCUCUUCCUUCUCCUUGGUCUCUAAGAAUGAGUCCAGACCCAUUCUGGGACUCAGAGAACUCUUUCUGGACCGUCUCUUCCCUCUCACCGCCAGCCACCAUCUCCCAUCCAUCAGUUUGUAAGGCCAUGUGAGGACAGUGAGAAGGCCGUGAUCGCAGCCCAAGGAGAGAGGCAUCACCAGACACAGACUCUGCUGCCGCUUUGAUCUCAGACUUCCCAGCCUCUAGCACUGUCCUGGCUGGCUAGAAGCUUUCAGAAUGACUGUUUCCAUUCAAUGUGGUCUCAUAGCAUGCAGAAGAAUUUCAGAGAUUUUCAGUUGGAAUAGUGGUGGCAAGGCAACCACACAUUCUUAAAGUAUUGCAAAUGAACUUUUGCCCCCUUGGUCAUGGGGCAAACACAAAGAUCUUGAUGGACUCUCCUCCUUUGUCCCCCCUGCUCUCCUGUUCUGUGCCCUGCUCUGUUGCUGCGCUGGUUCUCUUGAGACAUUUCCCAUCAUGGUGUAACCUCUAAGACCUUGCAAAGAUUGACAUGUCUCUAAGAAUGUGCCAAACAGAUCUAGAGCAAUGGUUUUCAACCAGGGAAGACUACCACCUUCCUCUUCCCCUACAACCACAGACAUUCAACAAUGCUUUGGGUUGUCACAACUGUAGAUUGUGCUGCUGAACAUCUCAGAGUACACAGGCAAUCUUUUGCAGUAAAGGAUGAUUCAAGCCAAAAUGUCUUUAGUUCCACUGUUAUGGAACCUUGAUCUAAAAUACCUUAUACUUUCUUUGUAGGUUGCUUCUUGGGAAAGGACCACUGAAUUAGAGUAGGUGUCUCUACAAGCAUCUCUUAGAGUGCA